UCCCGCCCCGCCUUCCUCCCUGGUCUACUGGGGUUCCUUCCUUCUCGGUGUAACUAGGUCAGCGCAAGGUGAUCCUGAGGAGAUAGGCGGCGCUCGGGGGGCGCCCUCGUUCCUCUUAUCGCGCCUUUGUCCCUCCCUCCGUUCCUUGCCCCGCACCCUCACUUUCGCCGCCCUGUGCGUUGCCUGUCCCGGAACUGGUUCCCUCAAGCCGCCCUCACCUGUUCUGACUUCCCCUCGAGGCACAAUAGCCUGAGAGAUCAGACGUGGGAGAUUAGAUUGCUCGGCGUCAGACCUACUUCUAGGCAACCCCCCCUAGACUGGAGCUGCUCGUCGUGGACAUUAGGAUCUAGUUGGGCAUGAGCCCUUAACUUAAGGGUCGGGGGGGAAGUGGCGGGUGCGGAGAGGAGGCGUGGAGAGUGUGAGGAAGAAGAGAGGCACUCUGAGAAGAAGUCGAACAACUAACCCCUCAUUUGGCCUGGUUUGGGUGAGAAGAUUGAGUCACUUGGGGAAAAAAAUAUUGGAGAAGUCAGAGAAGGUGUAAAUCAGUGGUGCCACAAACACCAGUUUACUUCCACUUUUCACCCCCCGGGUCUGUUUUGUCUGCGUGCAGCUCUCCUCGUGUCGGAGACGCUGAGUCAGUUCUCUACUGGUCUUGCCCUCUUCCGGAAAAAGAAAACACACCUGAGAAGUGGUAGUUCCUAUCCUAACCUACUGGGGCCCUUUAUACCAGGUGCCAAACUUCAUUAUCCACCCCACCACCUUGCCCGGGAGGGAGAUCUGUGAAAGCGAAACGUGAUUUAAGCUGGGAUCUGGCAGCAACUUCGUGGACUCUGAAGGGCACGUGGGAAAGGAGUUUUGAUUGAAGAAACCAAUGGCUGCAUUAAAUGAGUCUAUAGAAGAUUUUUCAUCUCUGGACAUGUCUAAUUGCAGAGCUCUAAUUGGAGGAACGUGUGGCAGUAUCUGAAAGGAGAAAAUAGGGUCUUGUUCUGUCACCUAGGCUGGAGUGGCAUGAUCAUGGCUCACUGCAACUUCUGCCUCCCUGGCUCCCAGCCUCAAGUGAUCCUCCCACUCCAGUCCCCUGAAGCAACUGGGACCACAGAGUAAUUUUAUGCUGAUUGAAGAAAAGAAGUAAACAGAGUUCCAGAAAGCAACUGCAAAUACUCAUUUUGAAAAAGAAAACAAAACAAAAACAAGGGAGACAUUUUAAAAGGUGCUAAAGCAACAGGACCAGUUGCCAGAGAGCUUAUUUUACCUCCCCAAAACAAGAUUGGUGUUUCAUCCUUGAGUUUAGUACACAGGAUUGUUCUUAUUCUUCUGCAGAUAGAGAGGUGCACUGCUUUAUGCUGCAAGUUGUCUAUAAGACAAGUUUUGUGAGUAUCAAAUAUUUGUAAGCAAAUCAAAUUUCUCCCCCAGUUGAAAUGAUUAUUUCAGAAGAAUUUCUUCUUUGUUUUGAAUUGGACUUCUGAGUUGGACUUCUCAGCAUGAUAAAGAAGAAAGAGCAUUAGAAUAAGAAAGAAGAUUAAGCUUCUUGUUUUGAUUAUGCCCAUAAUCAGCUGUGGGACCCCGGGCUAAUGCACUCCAAAAUCCCACUGUUCUGUGACCUUGCUAUGUGGGGCAUCAGCCUCCUCAUCUCUAAUAUUUUGGAUUUAAGUUAGUUGAUUUUUAUGGUCCCGCAAUGGAAUUCUUUAAACAACUCCACUAAUCCAUGAUACUGUUGCUUUAAAAAUCUUGGUUUUAGCUUUCCUCUAAGGAAUUUAUAGUGACAAUUAUCUACUUUUUUUUUCUUAAAUAAAAAUAGAGGUGGGGUUUUGCCAUGUUGCCCAGGCUGGUCUCAAACUCUUGGGCUCAAGUGAUCUGCCCACCUUGGCCUCCUAAAGUGCUGGGAUGACAGGUGUGAGCCACUGUACCCGGCCAGACCAUAUGUCUCUAGCAUUUUGAUAACAUUCUCUACAAUCUGGGCCCUGUAUAACUCCCCAGUCUUCAGACUACUACUCUCUAUGCUCACAUCUUUGGCGAUUUUAUACUCUUUGCCAAUUUAGAUGCCAUUUGUUUUUUCGUUUCCAGUAGAUUAGUAUGUCCAACCCAGAUUUUGGUAAACCCUAGACUCAUUCUACAGUCUGUGACAUCUCCAUUUGGAUUUCUUAUUGGCAUCUCAGACUCCAUAUGUCUAACCUGGAAUGCCUGAUCUCCAUUGCCUCCUAAACCGGCUUCUCUCACGGCUCUCCCAUCUCGGGGCCCAGCAUCUCAGACCUUUGCCUUGCUUACACCAGACAUUUUGUUGUUAUCUGUACCACCUCCUUCUCGUGCAGUCUACUUGAUGCCACCUAAUUGGUAUCCCUGGCUUCUGCCCUUGUUCUCUUAACGAAUCAUUUUCCAAACAGCAGCCAGAGUGAUCCUUUCAAAAAUGGAUUCAGAAAUCAUGUCACUGCUCUGCCCAAAGUUCCCAAAUGACUUCCCAGUCACUCAGAGCACAAGCUGACGCUCGACACAUCUGGGCCCCGUAAGAUUUUCAUUUCUGCUCCUCCUCCUUUUGCUCACUCUGCCCCUGCCACAUUGGUCUCCUGCUUUCCCGGAACUUGCCCAACAUGUUCCUCCCUCAGGGCCUUCACAUUUGUCAUUUCCUGUCCUAUGAUGCUCUUCCUGCAGAUAUCUACAGCAGCUCCCCGCUGCUCCUUUUGCAGGUUUUUGUUCAGAUGUCAUCUUCCUGGUGAGCUCUUCCCUGAACAACUCCUCACCCCCUCCACCUUGCCCCUGGGACUCCCUUUGACCUUUCUCGGAUUGUUUUCCCUGUAACUCUUGCCACCACCUCAUACAGGGCUUCUCAAGCUUGGCAUGAUUGGCAUUUUGGGACAGUUCUUUGUUGCGGGCUAUUAUCCUGUGCCUUGCAGGAUGUUUAGCAGCAUCACCACCCUCGACCCACUCAAUACCUGCAACUUUCCUCCCUAGGUUGUGACAGCCAGAAAUGUCUCCAGACACUGCCAAAUGUCUCCUGGGGGACAAAACCACCCCUGGUUGAGAAUCUUUGAUAUAAUGUAAAUAUGCAUUUUACCUAUGUAUUUGUUUAUUGUUCCUCCCUUCCCCACCAAUAAAAUAUAAUCUCCAUGAGAACAGGAAUUUUUGUGUCUAUUUUCCACUGAUGUAAUGCAGGCACUCUGAAUAGGGUAUGAUGCAUAGUAGGUGCUCAAACAGAUAUUUCACUGGUGAAUAAAUGAAAUGUGCUCUGACCUUGUUCCUCUGUGCUCAUUAAGCUCUAGCCACACUGACCUUUCUUCCACCUCUCAGACAUCUGAAGCUCCUUCUCACCUUUCAGUCUUUUUCUUUCAGAUCUCACUCCUGGAAAGCUCUAUUCGCAGGUCUCUGUUUACUUGUUACUCAGGUCCAAUAACACCUGCUUAGAGAGGCUUCCCUGAUCACCGUAUCCUACAUGACCCUCCCUGCCAGCCAGAGUCACUGUCUAUAUUGUUACUGUGUUUUAGUUUCUGCAUUACAUUUGUCUUGGAAAUUAUCUUGUUUACGUGGCAGGUGUACAUCUUGCUCCCUUAAAUGAAUGCUCCUUGACCACUCCACAUUAUCUGCUUUGUUUAUUAACGGCAGUAAUCUAAAACAGUAGUCUAAAACAGUGCAAGGCCCAUCGUUGAUGGGCUGAUUAAAUAAGUAUGCCUGUCUUUUAAUCAAUUCAGGGUGGAAGAGAGUCUCUAUAGAAAGGGUUUAAGGGCUGUGUCUGUCAAGGUCCAGUAGCAAAAAAAAAGAAAAAAGAAAAAAAAA
rnacentral:lncRNA from 1 species